rnacentral:rRNA from 1 species
CCUACGGGGGGCUGCAGUGGGGAAUAUUGGACAAUGGGGGGAACCCUGAUCCAGCCAUGCCGCGUGUGUGAAGAAGGCCCUCGGGUUGUAAAGCACUUUCAGUGAGGAAGAACGCCUGGUGGUUAAUACCCAUCAGGAAAGACAUCACUCACAGAAGAAGCACCGGCUAACUCCGUGCCAGCAGCCGCGGUAAUACGGAGGGUGCGAGCGUUAAUCGGAAUUACUGGGCGUAAAGCGCGCGUAGGUGGCUUUAUAAGCCGGUUGUGAAAGCCCCGGGCUCAACCUGGGAACGGCAUCCGGAACUGUCAAGCUAGAGUGCAGGAGAGGAAGGUAGAAUUCCCGGUGUAGCGGUGAAAUGCGUAGAGAUCGGGAGGAAUACCAGUGGCGAAGGCGGCCUUCUGGACUGACACUGACACUGAGGUGCGAAAGCGUGGGUAGCAAACAGGAUUAGAUACCCCAGUAGUC